rnacentral:lncRNA from 1 species
AUAGGGGCAUUGCUAGCAAUGGAUAGAAGUUGUGUGAAUUUCAAAAUUUUUGUUCGAGAAAAAUCUUCAGAGAAGAAGCUUGCUAACUCCUAAAUCCAGAGAAUGAACUGUUUGCAGAAAGAUACCUAAACCCUUACACUACAGGAAAAUCCAGAAUGAACCUUGGGGUGUGGUUGAUUGAACAUUUAUUUUGAAUGUACACUCUUAUGCCAAAGGGGACUGCCCCCUAAUUGGCUUUUGUCAAUGUGCCCAGCAAAACAUUGCUUUUUUGUCUCUCUCUCUCUCUCUCUCUCUCCUAUUUUCCCCUUAUCUCUCUAACUAUUGUAAUUUCAUAGCUGGUAUGUUUACAAGACCCAUUGGAGAGACUAGUCUUCCUCAGGCCUCAGGGGGAAUUGUGAAUUUCAAAACUAUUCCACCCUAUUCAGACCAUUCUUUAGAAAAAUUUAGCUAUUUCCUGAUCAAUAACAAUAGAGAUACUUGGAAUAACAGAAUCAGGUCUUGGAAGCUACCUUUCUCCUCCCUUCUUAGUUUAACAAGAUUAGGAAGGUCUGCAUCAAACUCAAGAUUUAAUCUGAGAAAAUGGCUUUCAACGGAUAUGUGCAAAAAAAGAACAGACCUCUGGACUGUCCUAAGUCAAGCUUGAGCCACCAUUGGCACAUGUGAGACACAGGAAGUGAGAUAAAAAACAGCCUCUGGAGUUCUCGUGACUUCCUGUGGAGAGGGCUAGAGUUCAGUUCGAUCCUGGAGCUCAAGCUUGGAGGAGCUCAGCAGACAGCUUUCCUUCAGACUGGUCACGACAGACAGAGAGGCCUUGUAUGUUAUGAGAACGGAUCUUUGGAAGAAGGACUUUGUUACCCGAGGUCUCAGGGGGUGGGAGGAGAAGAUAGAUAAGAACAGAACUCAAGAGUUGACAUUCCCAGCCCACCAUACUCAAAUUCUGCCUUUAUUUAAUGGGAGAGAUUGUUUGCUUCAGCCAGAUGUUCAAGCGCACUCCACCAACAUCCCAACCCAGGAAGGAAAACAAGCUAGCCACAGAAGACCACCCAAUUUAUCUCCUUUCUCUGUCAGCAAUCCAAGAGUCAGGAGGCUCCUGGGAAAUGUAGUUCAAAGGCACAAGAUUUCCAAUUACAUUCAAGAUUCUUCGGGAGAUAAAUGAGACAAUCUGGUACUUCUGUCUCUUUGAAUACUUGUCACAUUUGUCGUGAUCGACACAACCAAAGACUUUAGUAUAAUUAAUGAAGCAGACAGAGAUGAUUUUGGUUUUUUGGAACUCCCUUGCUUUCUCCAUAAUCCAGCAAAUGUUGGCAAUUUGGUCUCUAGUUCCUCUGCCUCUGAAAAACCUUCUGCUCUUUUGAUAAUUCUCAGUUCACAAACUUCUGAAGCCCAGCUUGAAGGACAGUAAGCAUAACAUUGUUGGCUUGUGAAAUUAGCUUGAUUGUUCAGAAAUUUGAACAUUCUUUGGCAUUGUCCAUCUUUAGCAUUGGGACAUAAAUUGGUCUUUUCCAAUCCAGUGGCCACUGUUGCAUUUUCCAAAUUUGCUGGCAUAUUAAGUGUAACACUUUAAUAGCAUAAUCUUAGGAUUUUAAAUUGCUCAGCUGGAAUUCUGUCAUCUCCACUAGCCUGAAUAUUGUCAAUGCUUCCUAAGGCCCACUUGUUUUCAUUCUCCAGGAUGUCUGGCUGUAAAUCAAUAAACGAGUCAUCAUGGCUAUCA